rnacentral:piRNA from 1 species
UGGGACCUUUAAGAAGGGCUGA